CUCAUACGAUCUCCGAAGUUAAGCAACGGUCGCGCCUGGUCAUUACUUAGAAGGGUGACCAUUUGGGAAGAGCAGGCGCUGUAAG